CCCGACCUCCCGUCUCUCUGGGUGGCGACCACUCCAGGGUCACGCAGGUCUCGUUCACUGUGGAGAUGGGGUUCUCUGGUGCAGACGGCGGACCUGAGAUCAGUAUUAAAUAUCGCCAAGAUGGUCAGUUUGAGCGCACCGCAAACCUCCGACACAUAGUCAAGGUUUGCUCACCCAGCACAACCCACUGCACCAGACUCCACUGAGCUAUAUGACGUCCCGUCUCCCAAAGCCACCUCGACGUCCAGGGCUUUCACUGUGGCCUACACCUCGGCGGUGCAAAC